CCUGCUCAGUGAGUUUACAUGUUAGAGGGAGUGGGGUAUAGUGACACAGUAACAGAGGGAUUGAGGGCCUGCUCAGUGAGUUUACAUGUUAGAGGGAGUGGGGUAUAGUGACACAGUAACAGAGGGAUUGAGGGCCCUGCUCAAUGAGCUUACAUGCUAGAGGGAGUGGGGUAUAGUGACACAGUAACAGAGGGAUUGAGGGCCCUGCUCAAUGAGCUUACAUGCUAGAGGGAGUGGGGUAUAGUGAC